rnacentral:tRNA from 1 species
AGGGCAUUAAGUUAAUGAGACUACGGCACUUCAAAUGUUGCAGUGAACAAAGAAAGUUCAUGUCCUG